rnacentral:misc_RNA from 1 species
UCCGAGUUGACCCCGGCAGUCUCCUGCGAGUCCCCGCCAUUACGCGCUGGCAACACAGGACAAGGGUUGCGCUCGUUGCGGGACUUAACCCAACAUCUCACGACACGAGCUGACGACAGCCAUGCACCACCUGUCACCCGCCCCGAAGGACACCAUGUCUCCACAGCUUUUCGGGUGAUGUCAAACCCAGGUAAGGUUCUUCGCGUCGCAUCGAAUUAAUCCGCAUGCUCCGCCGCUUGUGCGGGCCCCCAUCAAUUCCUUUGAGUUUUAAUCUUGCGACCGUACUCCCCAGGCGGAACACUUAUCGCGUUGGCUGCGGCACGGAGGGAUUCGACUCCCCCCACACCUAGUGUUCAUCGUUUACGGCUAGGACUAC